UAUCCUCACCUCGCCGCCACAGACCAUCCCUCACCUCCCCACCGCCUAGCUUCAGAUCAACUCCUCCCAUCGCCUCGCCACUUCACAGCAGCUAUGGCCGGGGAGGCUGGCGGAGUUUUGGUCCUCCCACCCCUUUCUACCCUCCCGUAAUGUGCAAGUGCACCCGAAUCUCAUCUCUCGACAGUUCUGGCAGCAGCGGCCAACACCGGUGGGCUACGACGCUAGCAACAAUACGCUGGCGGUGGUGGCAGACAAUGGUGAGCUUACUAAUGGUCGAGCGGCAGCGCGGGCUAAUGGGUUCGGCUCUGUUCUCGUUCCCCAGUUAUAAUAUUGUACUAUUCACAAGUUAAGGUCGCAAUCCCCACCUAGUCUAGUCUGAUUGAUUUCUGAUGUAAAAUCCUUGCUAGCUAAGACGUCAAAAUUGGUACGAUUCACACAACUAUGCUGGAAAUACUCGCUUAAUUUAUACACCUAGUUAUUCAGGAACAUAGUAAGAUGAGGAAAUACGUGCAUAUUUAGAUGAUGCAAAACAUUGCCAUGGUUUGUGGCUUUGUGCCACACUGGACUAUUUGAAUCUUUGUAAGGUACCAGAAAUAUCUUUGCUGAUAAUAGAGGCCUAACAAAAGCAGGGGGGUUCAGACUGAUGAGGUUGUCCAAGAUCGCUGGGAACAAGGUGAAAUUGGUGAAGCACAAAGCCCUUAUCGACGGCUUUAGUUACUACACUGUGCUUCAGCUGUACAGAAAUGAAGUGUUUGAAUUGAGCAUCAGCACACAUUCCUUCUGCUUCAUCCUUUAUGGCCGUAUGGGGAGUGUGAAGCAAUAUUAGAAGUGUUAUGAGUUGUGAGAAUGAUCAUGACAUUGAUGAUGAUGAGGAUGACAUCUAUGGCAACGAGGGAGAUGAUAGUUGUGGCGAUAAGCAUUGUGAUAAAGUAAAGAUUUG